UACGAAGGUGGCAAGCGUUGUUCGGAUUUACUGGGCGUACAGGGAGCGUAGGCGGUUCGGUAAGCCCUCUGUGAAAUCUCCAGGCUUAACCUGGAACAGUCGGAGGGGACUGCUGGGCUAGAGGACGGGAGAGGAGCGCGGAAUUCCCGGUGUAGCGGUGAAAUGCGUAGAGAUCGGGAGGAAGGCCGGUGGCGAAGGCGGCGCUCUGGAACGUUUCUGACGCUGAGGCUCGAAAGCGUGGGGGAGCAAACAGG
rnacentral:rRNA from 1 species